rnacentral:rRNA from 1 species
CGGAGGUCCCAAGCGUUGUUCGGAUUCACUGGGCGUAAAGGGUGCGUAGGUGGCGAGGUAAGUCGGAUGUGAAAUCUCCGAGCUCAACUCGGAAAUGGCAUUGGAAACUACCUUGCUAGAGGGUCGGAGGGGGGACUGGAAUGCUUGGUGUAGCAGUGAAAUGCGUAGAUAUCAAGCGGAACACCAGUGGCGAAGGCGAGUCCCUGGACGACUCCUGACACUGAGGCACGAAAGCUAGGGGAGCAAACAGGAUUAGAUACCCUGGUAGUCCUAGCCGUAAACGGUGCACGUUUGCUGUAAAAGGAAUCGACCCCUUUUGUGGCGUAGCCAACGCGUUAGACGUGCCGCCUGGGAAGUACGGUCGCAAGAUUA